GUGAGGUAACGGCUCACCAAGGCAUCGACGGGUAGCUGGUCUGAGAGGAUGAUCAGCCACACUGGGACUGAGACACGGCCCAGACUCCUACGGGAGGCAGCAGUGGGGAAUAUUGCACAAUGGGCGCAAGCCUGAUGCAGCGAUACCGCGUGCGGGAUGACGGCCCUAGGGUUGUAAACCGCUUUCAGCAGGGAAGAAAAUGACGGUACCUGCAGAAGAAGGUGCGGCCAACUACGUGCCAGCAGCCGCGGUGACACGUAGGCACCAAGCGUUGUCCGGAUUUAUUGGGCGUAAAGAGCUCGUAGGCGGUUCAGUUAGUCGGGUGUGAAAACUCUGGGCUCAACCCAGAGACGCCACCCGAUACUGCUGUGACUAGAGUACGGUAGGGGAGUGGGGAAUUCCUGGUGUAGCGGUGAAAUGCGCAGAUAUCAGGAGGAACACCAGUGGCGAAGGCGCCACUCUGGGCCGUAACUGACGCUGAGGAGCGAAAGCAUGGGUAGCAAACAGGAUUAGAUACCCUGGUAGUCCAUGCCGUAAACGUUGGGCACUAGGUGUGGGUCUCAACCAACGAGAUCCGCGCCGUCGCUAACGCAUUAAGUG
rnacentral:rRNA from 1 species